rnacentral:rRNA from 1 species
UACGUAGGUGGCAAGCGUUGUUCGGAAUUAUUGGGCGUAAAGGGCUCGUAGGCGGUCCGUCACGUCGGGAGUGAAAACUCAGGGCUCAACCCUGAGCGUGCUUCCGAUACGGGCGGACUAGAGGUAUGCAGGGGAGAACGGAAUUCCUGGUGUAGCGGUGGAAUGCGCAGAUAUCAGGAGGAACACCGGUGGCGAAGGCGGUUCUCUGGGCAUUACCUGACGCUGAGGAGCGAAAGCAUGGGGAGCGAACAGG